rnacentral:rRNA from 1 species
GAACGCUGGGCGGUGUGCCUAACACAUGCAAGUCGAGACGAAGCAAUUAAGAGGUAAGUUUUCGGAUGGAAUGUUAAUUGACUGAGCGGCGGACGGGUGAGUAACGCGUGGGUAACCUGCCUCAUACAGGGGGAUAACAGUUAGAAAUGACUGCUAAUACCGCAUAAGCACACAGAACCGCAUGGUUCGGGGUGAAAAGCCGAGACGGUAUGAGAUGGACCCGCGUCUGAUUAGCUAGUUGGAGGGGUAACGGCCCACCAAGGCAACGAUCAGUAGCCGACCUGAGAGGGUGACUGGCCACAUUGGGACUGAGACACGGCCCAAACUCCUACGGGAGGCAGCAGUGGGGGAUAUUGCACAAUGGGGGAAACCCUGAUGCAGCGACGCCGCGUGAGUGAAGAAGUAUUUCGGUAUGUAAAGCUCUAUCAGCAGGGAAGAAAAAAGACGGUACCUGACUAAGAAGCCCCGGCUAACUACGUG